GAAUCAUUCAAAUUUCUUCCCUAUCAACUUUCGAUGGUAGGAUAGAGGCCUACCAUGGUGGUAACGGGUAACGGGGUGUUAGGGCACGACACCGGAGAGGGAGCCUGAGAAACGGCUACCACAUCCAAGGAUGGCAGCAGGCGCGCAAAUUACCCAAUCCCGACCGGGGAGGUAGUGACAAUAAAUAACAAUACGGGGUUCUUUGGGAUUUCGUAAUUGGAAUGAGUACAAUUUAAAUCUCUUAACGAGGAACAAUUGGAGGGCAAGUCUGGUGCCAGCAGCCGCGGUAAUUCCAGCUCCAAUAGCGUAUAUCAAAGUUGUUGCAGUUAAAAAGCUCGUAGUUG
rnacentral:rRNA from 1 species